rnacentral:pre_miRNA from 1 species
UGUGUACUCCCUCCGUUCCAAAAUACUUGACUUCCAUUUGUCCAAAAAUGGAUGUACCUAUAUACUAAAACAUGUCUAGGUACAUAUAUAUUUUGACAAAUAGAAGGCAUGUAUUGUGCAACAGAGGGAGUAGAAU